rnacentral:lncRNA from 1 species
AUAUAUCAUAAACAUCGAUAUAACAAUGAAGCACACCUCAUCCCAAUUCUUUACAAAGACCCUCCAUGUGCAACCACGCGAAAAGUAAAGAGCCUGAUAUGCCCAUGGCCAAGUACCCUCGACAAGUUCCUUUUGCUCAAACAUCUUCUUUGUUUCUGCUCUCCCCGUCAUCGCCUUCGGUGAGCAGCUGAGCCGAGAUACAGGUUUGUCACUGUUCCAUUCAUGAAACAGUAUUCAAUGGUGAAGUUAAAAGGUUAUGUUUAACAUGGAUUUGGGUUUAGAUGGGAGCCUAAGCACGGUUGAAACGUUGGCAUCGACUGCCCUUUGCGGUAUUCUAAACUCGAUAUUCGGUGGCCAACCACUUUUGAUUCUUGGAGUUGCAGAGCCAACUGUUAUCAUGUAUACAUAUUUGUAUAACUUUGCAAAAGGAAGAGAUGACUUGGGGCAGGAACUACACUUGGCUUGGGUCGGAUGGUAAAACGAGUCUCCGUUGUUAUAGGUUCUGCGAAAGUUUUGGGAAGUACUUGAUUUUCUAAGUUGAUAAACGUUUUGCAGGGUUUGUGUUUGGACUGCUCUCUUGUUGUUUCUGCUUGCAGUAUUUAAUGCUUGCACGGUAAUUAAUCGGUUCACAAGGAUUGCAGGCGAGCUUUUCGGCAUGUUGAUCAGUGUUCUGUUUAUUCAAGGGGCUAUAAAGUAUAAAGGUAAAAAUCUGAUCAAAAGAAAAUAAAUCAUCUACCAUAUGAAGUUCUAAACACCUACCGAUGAUUCGAUUGUAGGGGGUUGUGAGUGAAUUUCAAGUUCCCGAUCAUCAAGACGCGAAGUCAGAGAAGUAUCAAUUUCAAUGGGUUUACACAAAGGGAUUGUUGGGAAUCAUGUUCUCGCUUGGCCUUCUCUAUACCCCCUUGAAAAGUCGAAGGGCGAGGUCAUGGUGGUAUGGCACAGGUUUGUCAAGCAAACAAAUUCAUAGCAUUUGACUAUUUUCGGGUUUAGUAUACAAAAUAAGCUCUCAUAAAUGGCUGCUGAAUAUUGUACAGGGUGGUUUAGAAGCUUCAUUGCAGAUUAUGGGGUACCUUUAAUGGUUGUAGUGUGGACAGCGAUGUCAUUUAGUGUACCAAGCAAAGUUCCUUUUGGGUUCCAAGAAGGCUUUUUAGUCCUCUGCCAUGGGAACCUGCAUCAUCACAACAUUGGACCGUAAUUAAGGUAACCGUACUCGCUUAUCGUGUAUGUCUUGCAAGAAAAGGCUACAAGGUUCAAGGUUGACAGUGUUAUAAAUAAUCAAAUUGCAGGAUAUGGGAAGGAUCCCUCCAUUGUACAUCUUUGCUGCAUUUAUUCCAGCUGUGAUGAUUGCGGGACUUCACUUUUUUGACCACAGUGUUGCUUCGCGAAUGGCACAAGAAAAGGAAUUCAAUCUCAAGAAUCCAUCUGCAUAUCAUUAUGACAUCUUGCUGCUUGGAUUCAUGGUAAACCUCAUGCUCGAACGGUACCACCACCCGAAUUAUAAACAAUCUUAUCGUAUACUCACGUUUUACCACCGGGAACAUGCUUGCAGACUUUACUUUGUGGACUAAUAUGCCUCCCUCCUUCGAAUGGAGUCCUACCACAGUCUCCUAUGCAUACUAAGAGCCUUGCAGUUCUCAAAGGGCAGGUGGGUACGUACAUUCUAAAGCAAAGUUUCCUACCAGAUAUAAUUGACCUGGUUACAUGUUUAAUUUUUCGUGUACGAAAUGCAGAUCAUCCGAUAAAGAUGGUGCAGAGUGCUAAAGAAAGCAUAAAGCAUAAAGCUAGUGACUCCGAAAUAUACAGCAAGAUGCAAGCGGUGUUCAUCGAAAUGGACAAGAGUCCAGAAGUAAGUGAUCCUUUAUCUUGAAACAUUACAAAUGACAUUUUAGUCCACAACUCGUAGUUUUGCUUCAACUCCGAAUUGCUUGUCCGUAUUCUCCGAAUACAUAACGAUAAGUCUUAUACAAUGCCUGCAUCUGACCUUAACUAUUCCAGUUACAGACUGCAGUUAUUAAAGAGUUAGAAGACUUGAAGAAGGUUUUUAUGAGAGGUGAAAAUGAAGGAGAAAUAAAAAAGGAAACAUUUGAUCCUGAAAAGCAUAUCGAUGCCUACUUGCCAGUUUGAGUUAAUGAAUAGAGAGUGAGCAAUCUUUUGCAGUCACUCCUAGUGAUUUCGACGUUGAGAGAUGGAACUGUUGAAGCCGUGGCCUGCAUUGCAACAAAGACCAACAGCAGCAAAUUGUACAAUUUUAGCUGCUAUACUGUUUUGUAGCAAAGAAAUGGAGUUGGUUCAGUUAUAAAAUUAUUUUUUGAAUAUUUUGUUCCUAUGGAACUUAGCCUAAAUCUUUGUAAUGAGUUAGCUAAGUUAGUAGGAAAGAUUGACUGAUGUAAUAGCUGGUAUGCCAACUUUCUUUUGUAUACAAGUUGCUAUAUUUUUAGUAAGUAUUAAGUAAGAGCAGUUAAAUUAGUAGGUAACUGUCAAAUACUUUUGUAACCUUCAUAUAUUCAAAAUUUGAAUGAAAUUAUGAUGACUUUCAGUUACAAAUUUUCUUGCUGAGUUCUUUUCUUUUGUUUUUUCUUUCAUUCGUUUUUGCUUUCUUUGCUACUGCCAUUUAUCCAACAAAUGGUAUCAAGAGCUUUCAGUCUUUGAGGGCCUUGGUUGUACACUGUCACUAAGCAAAUUGUGUUUGAAACAAAAGAAGAAGAGGUUGUUUUGCUUGCUGAAAAAUGAGUUUUACACCACCUCCUCCACCUGUCUUUGCUGGAGAAAAUUACAACAUCUGGGCAGUGAAAAUGAGAACAUACCUGUAGGCACACGACCUGUGGAAUGUUGUUCUCAAUGACACUGAGCCACCACCACUAAGAGCCAACCCGACCAUAGCCCAGAUUAGGCAGCACAAUGAAGACUGUGCCAAGAAGUAUAAGGCUAUGUCGUGCCUUCAAAGUGGAGUCUCUGAUGUUAUCUUCACAAGAAUAAUGGCUUGUGAUACUCCAAAGCAGGCCUGAGACAAACUCAAGGAGGAGUUUCAGGGGUCUGACAAGACCAGGCAACAGCAACUGAUCAACAUGAGAAGAGAUUUUAAAAAUCUCAAAAUGAAGGACUCAGAAACCAUCAAGCAGUAUGCUGACAGAAUCAUGGCUACUAUCAACAAUAUAAGGAUGCUUGGGGAGGAAUUCAGUGACCAAAGAGUGGUUGAGAAGGUCAUAACAACCUUGCCAGAGAAGUAUGAAGCAAAAAUUUCUUCUUUGGAAGACUCAAGGGACUUGUCAACAAUCCCUUUGACAGAGCUUAUAAAUGCUCUUUUUGCUCAGGAGCAGAGAAGGGCAAAUAGGCAGGAGGACCACUAUGAAGGAGCUUUUCAGGCUAGAAGCAGAGAAAGCUCAAGUGCAAACUUAAAUGCCAAAGGCAAGAAGCCCUGGACUGAGAAGAAGAAGAAAGAACCUGUCAAAAGGAAGUUCCCACCUUGUGUCCAUUGCAAGAAGACUACUCAUCUUGAGAAAUCCUGCUGGUACAGACCAGACAUUCAAUGUAGAGCCUGCAAGCAAUUUGGCCACAUUGAAAAGGUCUGUAAGAGCAAGCCAAAACCACAACCACAGUUUCAAAGCCAAGCUCAAGCUGCAGAAGAGGUUGAAUCACCAGAAGAGCAUGUCUUUUCAGCAUCAUGCUUUGCAAGCUCGAGCAAAGUCAGUAAAAUAUGGUUGAUUGACAGUGGAUGUACCCACCAUAUGGCUUCUGAGAAAAGUAUAUUUAAGGAGCUUGACACCACCUUCAAGUCCAAAGUCAGAAUUGGCAAUGGUGAGCUGCUGGAGGCAAAAGGGAAAGGCAAGGCCUUGAUAAGCACCAAGUCAGGUAUUAAAACCAUUUCAGAGGUUCUCUAUGUACCUGACAUUGACCAAAACUUGCUAAGUGUUGGCCAGCUAUUGGAGAAGGGCUACUCUCUGAUUUUUGAAGGCAAGAACUGUUUGAUCAAAAAUGUUGCUGGUGAAUUGUUGACUACAGUGUCUAUGCAAGACAGAACCUUCAUUGUGGAUGUGAAUCAACUGCAGGCAAAGGCAUAUACAUCUCAGUCUGAUGAAGUAGAUUUGUGGCACAGGAGAAUGGGACAUGUGAACUACAAUUCAUUAAGUAUAAUGUAUAAAAUGGAUUUGGCCAAUGACAUGUCCAAAAUCGAGCCAAAGAAUGCUGUAUGUGAGGUCUGUCAGCUAGGCAAACAGACUAGAUUACCCUUUCCAAUCAACAAGGCAUGGAGAGCACAAGGGAAGCUUCAGCUUGUUCAUACAGACAUCUGUGGACCAAUGAAGACUACCUCCUUAAAUGGCAGCAGGUACUUUGUACUCUUCAUUGAUGAUUAUUCAAGGUUCUGUUGGGUAAAUUUUUUGAAGCAUAAGUCAGAUGUUUAUGACUCUUUCUGCAAAUUUAAAGCCUUGGUCGAAAACCAAGCAAAUUGCAAACUAAAAUGUUUGAAGUCUGACAAUGGUUCUGAGUAUGUAUCUCAGAAGUUUCAAAAAUUGUGUGAUGAUGCUGGAAUUCAACACCAAUUGACUACUGUGUACACACCACAGCAAAAUGGUGUUUGUGAAAGGAAAAACAGAACAGUCCUUGAUAUAGCUAGGUGUUUGUUAUUUGAGGCUAAAAUGCCUAAUGUUUUUUAGGCUGAAGCUGUGAAUACAGCUAUUUACCUGUUGAAUAGGUUGCCAACUAAUGCAGUCAAAGGAAAAACUCCCUUUGAAGCCUGGUUUGCACAGAAACCAUCUGUCUCUCAUUUGAAGGUAUUUGGCUGUCUAUGUUAUGUGUUGGUACCUGAGGAGAGAAGAACCAAGUUGGACAGGAGGUCCAUGCCUAGGGUGUUUGUUGACUACAGCAAUGUGAAGAAAGGAUACAGAGUCUUUGAUCCACUGACCAAGAAGGUUGCAGUGAGCAGAGAUGUGAAAUUCAGUGAAGCAAGUAGCUGGAAAUGGGAUGAAAUUGAAGCAAAUUUGCCUGAUGGAGAACAGAUUGAUGUUGAUCUGCAGCAAGCUGAAAAUGAAGAAGUAACUGAAAAUGGCUAUGAUGAUCAACCUGUUCGAGGCACCAGGACAUUAACUGACAUCUAUGAGAGAUGUGCAGUAACUAUAGUAGAGCCUUCAUGUUUUGAAGAAGCUGCAAAAGAAAAAUGCUGGCAGGAUGCUAUGGAAGCUGAAUUUAAAAUGAUUCAGAAAAAUGAUACAUGGGAGCUUGUAAACAGACCUGAAAACAGAAAAAUUAUAGGUGUAAAGUGGGUCUAUAGAAUUAAGAACAAUGCAGAUGGCUCUCUUAAUAGACAUAAGGCCAGACUGGUUGUUAAAGGUUAUAGUCAGCAGCAAGGGGUUGAUUUUUCUGAAACCUUUGCACCUGUUGCAAGGUUGGAUACUAUCAGAUUGCUGCUAGCUUUGGCAGCUCAAAAGCAUUGGAAGGUGCAUCAUCUGGAUGUUAAGUCAGCCUUUCUAAAUGGCUUUCUUAAUGAAGAAAUAUUCAUUGAGCAACCUGAGGGUUUUAAGGUCACUGGUGAAGAACAGAAGGUCUACAAGCUGAAAAAGGCUUUGUAUGGUCUAAAACAGGCUCCAAGGGCCUGGUAUGAGAGGAUUGAUGCUACUUAGCAAGGCUCGGGUUCACAAAGAGUAUCAAUGAGCCUACACUCUAUGUUAAGAAGGAUCAGGAGGAAACCUUGUUAAUUGUUUCCUUGUAUGUUGAUGAUCUGUUGGUUAUUGGCUGCAAAGAUGAACUUAUUGAAGACUUCAAGAAACAGAUGCAACAUGUCUUUGAGAUGACUGACCUUGGUCUGAUGACCUACUUUCUUGGCAUGGAGAUAAAACAAGGAAGUGAUGGCAUUUUCAUAAGUCAGCAAACAUUUGCUUCCAAGGUGCUUGAAAAAUUUUGCAUGUUGAAAUGCAAAUUAGUCACUACACCAGUUGCAUUGGGAGAAAAAUUGUCAAGUGCCAGUGAACAUGAUCGAGUAGAUGAGAAGGCAUAUAGAAGCUUAAUUGGUUGUUUGCUUUAUUUAACAGCAACUAGACCAGACAUUGUCUAUGCUGUUAGUCUACUUUCAAGGUUUAUGCACUGCAGUAAUGUGGCACAUCUGAAGGCAGCAAAAAGAGUGUUAAGGUAUGUCAAAGGAACCAUCGAUACUGGUGUGAAGUUUUGGAGGGCAAAGGAGCUGAAACUCGUAGGCUAUUCUGAUAGCGAUUGGGCAGGGUCAGUUGAUGACAUGAGGAGCACUUCAGGUUAUUUUUUCACCUUAGGCUCGAGUGUUUUCAGCUGGAGUUCAAAGAAGCAACAAAUUGUUGCACAAUCCACAGCAGAGGCUGAAUAUAUCUCAGCUGCAGCAGCAGUAAAUCAAGCCAUUUGGCUUAGGAAGAUUUUGGAUGAUUUGAAUGAAAGUCAAGUUCAGCCUACUGAGAUUAGAGUGGAUAAUCAAUCAGCUGUGGCCAUAGCCAAGAAUCCAGUCUUCCAUGGUAAGACUAAACACUUCAAAAUCAAAUUCCAUUUUAUUAGAGAAGCUGAGCAAUCUAGGGAGGUUAGCUUAGUUCAUUGCAGCUCAGAAAUUCAGCUAGCUGACAUUUUAACUAAACCAUUGGGAGCCAACCGAUUUAAUGCUUUGAAGGAAAGGAUUGGUGUUUGUUGCAUACAGACCAAGGAGGAGUGUUGAAGCCGUGCCCUGCAUUGCAACAAAGAACCAACAGCAACAAAUUGGUCAAAAGACCAACAGCAGCAAAUUGUACAAUUUUAGCUGCUAUACUGUUUUGUAGCAAAGAAAUGGAGUUGGUUCAGUUAUAAAAUUAUUUUUUGAAUAUUUUGUUCCUAUGCAACUUAGCCUAAAUCUUUAUAAUGAGUUAGCUAAGUUAGUAGGAAAGAUUGACUGAUGUAAUAGUUGGUAUGCCAGCUUUCUUUUGUAUACAAGUUGCUAUAUUUUUAGUAAGUAUUAAGUAAGAGCAAUUAAAUUAGUAGGUAACUGUCAAAUACUUUUGUAACCUUCAUAUAUUCAACAUUUGAAUGAAAUUAUGAUGACUUUCAGUUACAAAUUUUCUUGCUGAGUUCUUUUCUUUUGUUUUUUCUUUCAUUCGUUUUUUGCUUUCUUUGCUACUGCCAUUUAUCCAACAGGAACAUAACGAAACUUUAUAUCGAAGUUGAAAACAUUAUCAUCAAAUUCUUCUAAGUUAGACUCGUUUUCUUGCCUAAUAUUCACGUUGUAAUAUAAAGCCAUGGCAGUGCUUUGAUUUUUUGUUUUGUAUUAUGAUAUGAUUUUGAAAGUAAAGAAAUAAUACAUUUAUAGAUAGGUGUUAUAGUAAGGAAUUCAAUAAUGUUUUUAUAUGAUUUUUUUAAAAAUGUUGAACAUGAUUUUGAGAGAAAAAAAAAACCUUUCUGGCAUUGCCAUUAAUAAAACCUAAAACUCCGAAUCUAAACAUGAUUUUGAGAAAAGACCAAUUUGGUCGCUUACAGUUUUCAUAUAUCAUAGACAUCGAUAUAACAAAGAAGCACACCUCAUCCCAAUUCUUUACAAAGAUCCCCCAUGUGCAACGACACGAAAAGCAAAGAGCCUGGUAUGCCCAUGGCCAAGUACCCUCGACAAGCUCCUUAUGCUCAAACAUCCUCUUAAAACUGGUUAAGGACCAUUGAUUAAGCAGAAUGAAAACCACUGCAGAGAAAGUAGAUAGAAAACAGAAUUUA